GACGAACGCUGGCGGCAUGCCUAAUACAUGCAAGUCGAGCGAACAGAUGAAGUGCUUGCGCUUCUGACGUUAGCGGCGAACGGGUGAGUAACACGUAAGGAAUCUACCUAUAAGCGGGGGAUAACAUUCGGAAACGGGUGCUAAUACCGCAUAAUAUCUUCUUCCGCAUGGAAGAAGAUUGAAAGACGGCUCUGCUGUCACUUAUAGAUGACCUUGCGGUGCAUUAGUUAGUUGGUGGGGUAAUGGCCUACCAAGACGGUGAUGCAUAGCCGACCUGAGAGGGUGAUCGGCCACAUUGGGACUGAGACACGGCCCAAACUCCUACGGGAGGCAGCAGUAGGGAAUCUACCGCAAUGGGCGAAAGCCUGACGGAGCAAUGCCGCGUGAGUGAAGAAGGCCUUCGGGUCGUAAAACUCUGUUAUAAGAGAAGAACAAAUUGUAGAGUAACUGCUACAGUCUUGACGGUAUCUUAUCAGAAAGCCACGGCUAACUACGUGCCAGCCGCCGCAGUAA
rnacentral:rRNA from 1 species